rnacentral:lncRNA from 1 species
ACAACUGAGCUGCUCCAGCUGAGACUCUCUUCUACCCUGCAAAGAGGAGAAUUAGAGGUGCAGUUUGUGCUCGCGGUCACCUUCAUCUGAGUGGAUGUGAAAUAGAACACUUAGGGCCUGUUCGGUUGACAAGGAAAAUGGUAGGGUUUGGCAGGGAUUGGCAGGGAUUCCACCCUCCAUAAGUCAAAACCUCUUCCAAUCCAUCCCAAUCCCCCUGUGAGGAGGUGUAACCGAACAAAGCCUUAGGGGUAUAGAAGUACUCUGUCUGUAAUACUUGUAUUUGGCAGUUAAACAAGUAAAAUGGGAACGAAUAGGGCCUCCGACUCUCCGGGUGUCCACGGUGGAAAAUGUACUGAAAUGUGUGCAAAUGUGUUUAUUGGAGCGAUGCAUGGUGCUAGUCAAAGUCUUCAGCGUGUACAGGUGGGCUCUUGUCCAUUCGCAGAGUAGAAUAUGAUCAGACUCGUGAUGUGUAUGAUAAGAAUAGUGCAAUGAUGAUCGAUGAGUUAGGCAGUACAAUCCAAGCAGGUACAUGGACAGACUUCAAAAUUGUGGAUCCCAAAGGCCACAUGACAACAGCAAACAGUUUAAAUAUCCCGUUCUUCAUACAUCAUCAAAAAGCAUAUGAUUG